GGGCCACUGAUGUCUCUGAUGGAGCUGAGGAUCUGAGCAG
rnacentral:snoRNA from 1 species